GGAAAAGAAACCAACAGGGAUUGCCCUAGUAACGGCGAGUGAAGCGGCAACAGCUCAAAUUUGAAAUCUGGCUUCGGCCCGAGUUGUAAUUUGCAGAGGAUGCUUCUGGCGCGGUGCCUUCCGAGUUCCCUGGAACGGGACGCCACAGAGGGUGAGAGCCCCGUAUGGUCGGACACCAAGCCUGUGUGAAGCUCCUUCGACGAGUCGAGUAGUUUGGGAAUGCUGCUCUAAAUGGGAGGUAAAUCUCUUCUAAAGCUAAAUACCGGCCAGAGACCGAUAGCGCACAAGUAGAGUGAUCGAAAGAUGAAAAGCACCUUGAAAAGGGGGUUAAAUAGUACGUGAAAUUGUUGAAAGGGAAGCACUUGUGACCAGACUUGGGCCGGGCGGCUCAUCAGGGGUUCUCCCCUGUGCACUCCGCCCGGCACAGGCCAGCAUCGGUUCUCGUGGGGGGAUAAGACCGUUAGGAACGUAGCACCCUCCGGGGUGUGUUAUAGCCUGGCGGACGAUACCCCCGUGGGGACCGAGGUUCGCGCUCCGCAAGGAUGCUGGCGUAAUG
rnacentral:rRNA from 1 species